AGUGAACGCUGGCGGCAGGCCUAACACAUGCAAGUCGAGCGGCAGCGCGGGUAGCAAUACCUGGCGGCGAGUGGCGGACGGGUGAGGAAUGCAUCGGAAUCUGCCCCGACGUGGGGGAUAACGUAGGGAAACUUACGCUAAUACCGCAUACGUCUUGCGGGAGAAAGCGGGGAUCGAAAGACCUCGCGCGGCGGGAUGAG
rnacentral:rRNA from 1 species